rnacentral:tRNA from 1 species
CAUUAGAAAGCUGUAAGGGUUCAGCAUUAGCCUUUUAAGCUAAAAGUUGGUGGCUCCCAACCACCUCUAGUGA